GUGGACACAGCGGUCGCCGGUGAGUGCGGUCGUGGGAGCUAGAGGCUCUCUCUGCAGUUACGAAAUGACUUUCUUUCUGUUUCGAGUUGGAGGUCCCGCAGACCUAUUUCUUGAUCUUCUGAAAGCAGCCAGGUUGUCACUUUAUUCGAGUCGUGCUGCGACGCGCGUGUCUCUGAGAGUCUCACUCGUGUAGAUCUAGGUCCGAGCCAUCCAAGCGUCAGUGAAAUUUAUUAUUUUUUUUUAAGAAGGCAAAACUUGCUUAAUUUUAAGAUGUUGCGAUUUUAGAGUGCUGAGUUUUUGGAGUUGCUGUUUAUUAAAGACAGUGAUUUUGCAGGCCCCUGUGAUUGUCACUUGUUAAAGCAGCUGCUUUUGGUGGCUGAGAGGCCGUUAUGACGGCUGCCUACUACCUUUACGUCCUGGGAAUUCGAAGAAGAGAGACAUUUGUUGAUUUCAGAGAACGCGGUUGAUUGCACGGGAAAUUCAGUGUUCUGUAUUUUCAGGAAUGUUCACUCCUCGUUAUAGAUAUAUACCUUGACCCUUU
rnacentral:lncRNA from 1 species